GAAAUCAUAAGGGCAGGGCCUCAGCCAAUAUGAUUGCUGUCCUUAUGAGAAGAGAUUAGGACCCAGACACACAGAGGUAAUACCAUGUGAAGAUAAAAGGAGGAGACGGUCACCUACAAGCCAUGGAGAGAGGCCUCAGUAAAAUCCAGCCCUGCUGACACCCUGACCUCGGACUUCUAGCCUUCAGAAAGGAAUCUGUGACUGGGCACGGUACCAGCUCCACAGACAAACUCGUGGAAAUGCGUUCGGCCCUCCUGGGGAAACAUCUCUCCUGUUGUGAUUCGCUUUGCUGGCUGCAUCAUUUGUCAAGGUGUCAUGAGCUCCAGGCCCUGGGAACCAGCUGCACGCAGAGGAAGGAAUCAAAAGGUUCAUUUCUGGAAUCAGAUCCAUGUAACAGGCUUUUUAAAUUACCCUGCGAAUGAGUUUCCUCUCCAGCAGAGCGACGGAAACCUAACAAACCUUCUAAGUGGUACCCUGGCUGGUGUUAAAUUGAUUCAAAGGCUGAGGCUGCAGAUUCCAUACCAAGACUUCCACACUGAAUAG
rnacentral:lncRNA from 1 species